rnacentral:rRNA from 1 species
GAUGAACGCUGGCGGCGUGCCUAAUACAUGCAAGUCGAGCGAACGGACGCGAAUCUUGCUUCUCUGAUGUUAGCGGCGGACGGGUGAGUAACACGUGGAUAACCUACCUAUAAGACUGGGAUAACUUCGGGAAACCGGAGCUAAUACCGUAUAAUAUUCUGAACCACAUGGUUCAAUAGUGAAAGACGGUCUUGCUGUCUCUUAUAGAUGGAUCCGCGCUGCAUUAGCUAGUUGGUAAGGUAACGGCUUACCACGGCAACCAUGCAUGACCGACCUGAGAGGGUGAUAGGCGACACUGGAGGUGAGACACGGACAAGAGGCCUACGAGAGGCAGCAGUAGGGAAUGUGACGCAGUGGGCGAAAACCUGACGGAGUGGCGCCGAGUGAGAGGUGGAGGUCUUGGGAUCGUAAAACUCUGUUAUUAGGUAAGAACAGAUGUGGACGGAAACGUAGACUUAGUGACGGUACCGAGUCAAAAAGCCACGGCUAACUACGUG